GAGAGGGUGUGAGGUCUGACGGUGGAGAGAGAGGGUGUGAGGUCUGACGGUGGAGAGAGAGGGUGUGAGGUCUGACGGUGGGGAGAGAGGGUGUGAGGUCUGACGGUGGAGAGAGGGUGUGAGGUCUGACGGUGGAGAGAGAGGGUGUGAGGUCUGACGGUGGGGAGAGGGUGUGAGGUCUGACGGUGGAGAGAGAGGGUGUGAGGUCUGACGGUGGGGAGAGGGUGUGAGGUCUGACGGUGGAGAGAGAGGGUGUGAGGUCUGACGGUGGAGAGAGAGGGUGUGAGGUCAGACGGUGGGGAGAGGGUGUGAGGU
rnacentral:lncRNA from 1 species